UACGGGGGGGAGCAAGCGUUGUUCGGAUUUACUGGGCGUAAAGGGCGCGUAGGCGGCCACCGCAAGUCGACUGUGAAAUCUCCGGGCUUAACCCGGAAAGGUCAGCCGAUACUGCGGGGCUAGAGUGCAGAAGGGGCAACUGGAAUUCUCGGUGUAGCGGUGAAAUGCGUAGAUAUCGGGAGGAACACCAGUGGCGAAGGCGGCUGCCUGGGCCAGUUCGUGAC
rnacentral:rRNA from 1 species